GUCAGGGUGGCCGAGCGGUCCAAGGCGCCAGACUUAAGUUCUGGUCUCCUGUUGGAGGCGUGGGUUCAAAUCCCACCCCUGGGGGGACG